rnacentral:lncRNA from 1 species
AAAGGUUUUUCAAGACAUAUCAGACUCAAGGUUCAAAGGUUAGAACAGAUUAUGCUCUUUUCAGUAGGCAAAAAUAUUUUGAAGGCCAAAAGAAUAAGGGAUAACAAAAGAUGGCCUCGAUCAUGUGGAACCUGCAGGCAAGUAGUUCAAUCACAGAAAAUUUUGGCAAAAUUAUUCAUGCUUUCAGUGACAAAAAUUAUUUAAAAAUAACUCUGAAGCUCAAAACUUACACAGGUAAACUCACAAGUUCUCAAAUUCAGAAAAACAUCCUGCUGAGUAUUUUAAUCAAACUUUAUUUCAAGCACCUGUCUCACAAAUUUAUCACCAUGCAUCAUCUCAAAUUCAAUCACACACUAUAAUUUUCAAAAAGCAAAACUUAUCACACAAAACAGAGCACAGUUGAAUCAAAGAAGUUUAGUUCAUUCAAGUAUAGCACAAUAAAAAUAAAAUAAAAGAAAACACAUACUAAAACCAAAAUAAAAAAAUUAAAAAGUAAAAGUUUAGAGCACUGGGUUGCCUCCCAGCAAGCGCUUCUUUAACGUCACUAGCUUGACCCAAUAGGUUCAUUAUCAUAGCAUCCAUGAGUAGAUGUUGUUAGUAACAUCCAUGAGUAGAUGUUUAAUCACAUAGCAUCCAUCAGUAGAUGCUAAUUUUUCUUGUCUUCAUUGGUAUCCCUCAGUAGACACCAAUCCUUCUCAUCUUCAUUGGAAUCCAUCAGUAGAUGCUUAAUCACCUAACAUCCAUCAAUAGAUGUCUAGUCACCAUCCUCUUUCAUAGCAGCAUCCAUGAGUACAUGCUCUCUCAAACUCCAGCAUCCAUCAGUAGAUGCUCUCUCAAACUUUUCCAACAUCCAUCAGUAAAUGCACAUCUUUCUCAUCAACAUCCUUCAGUAGAUGUUAAUCUUUCUCUUCUUCAUCAACAUCCAUUAGUACGCGCUGUCAGUACUGCC